CCUACGGGCGGCAGCAGUGGGGAAUAUUGGACAAUGGGGGGAACCCUGAUCCAGCCAUGCCGCGUGUGUGAAGAAGGCCCUCGGGUUGUAAAGCACUUUCAGUGAGGAAGAACGCCUGGUGGUUAAUACCCAUCAGGAAAGACAUCACUCACAGAAGAAGCACCGGCUAACUCCGUGCCAGCAGCCGCGGUAAUACGGAGGGUGCGAGCGUUAAUCGGAAUUACUGGGCGUAAAGCUCGCGUAGGUGGCUUGAUAAGCCGGUUGUGAAAGCCCCGGGCUCAACCUGGGAACGGCAUCCGGAACUGUCAAGCUAGAGUGCAGGAGAGGAAGGUAGAAUUCCCGGUGUAGCGGUGAAAUGCGUAGAGAUCGGGAGGAAUACCAGUGGCGAAGGCGGCCUUCUGGACUGACACUGACACUGAGGUGCGAAAGCGUGGGUAGCAAACAGGAUUAGAUACCCCAGUAGUC
rnacentral:rRNA from 1 species